rnacentral:rRNA from 1 species
AGAGCGAACGCUGGCGGCAGGCUUAACACAUGCAAGUCGAGCGGGCGUAGCAAUACGUCAGCGGCAGACGGGUGAGUAACGCGUGGGAACGUACCUUUUGGUUCGGAACAACCCAGGGAAACUUGGGCUAAUACCGGAUAAGCCCUUACGGGGAAAGAUUUAUCGCCGAAAGAUCGGCCCGCGUCUGAUUAGCUAGUUGGUGGGGUAAUGGCCCACCAAGGCGACGAUCAGUAGCUGGUCUGAGAGGAUGAUCAGCCACAUUGGGACUGAGACACGGCCCAAACUCCUACGGGAGGCAGCAGUGGGGAAUAUUGGACAAUGGGCGCAAGCCUGAUCCAGCCAUGCCGCGUGAGUGAUGAAGGCCCUAGGGUUGUAAAGCUCUUUUGUGCGGGAAGAUAAUGACGGUACCGCAAGAUAAGCCCCGGCUAACUUCGUGCCAGCAGCCGC